AGAGUUUGAUCAUGGCUCAGAUUGAACGCUGGCGGCAGGCCUAACACAUGCAAGUCGAGCGGUAGCACAGAGAGCUUGCUCUCGGGUGACGAGCGGCGGACGGGUGAGUAAUGUCUGGGAAACUGCCUGAUGGAGGGGGAUAACUACUGGAAACGGUAGCUAAUACCGCAUAACGUCGCAAGACCAAAGUGGGGGACCUUCGGGCCUCAUGCCAUCAGAUGUGCCCAGAUGGGAUUAGCUAGUAGGUGGGGUAACGGCUCACCUAGGCGACGAUCCCUAGCUGGUCUGAGAGGAUGACCAGCCACACUGGAACUGAGACACGGUCCAGACUCCUACGGGAGGCAGCAGUGGGGAAUAUUGCACAAUGGGCGCAAGCCUGAUGCAGCCAUGCCGCGUGUGUGAAGAAGGCCUUCGGGUUGUAAAGCACUUUCAGCGGGGAGGAAGGCGAUAAGGUUAAUAACCUUGGCGAUUGACGUUACCCGCAGAAGAAGCACCGGCUAACUCCGUGCCAGCAGCCGCGGUAAUACGGAGGGUGCAAGCGUUAAUCGGAAUUACUGGGCGUAAAGCGCACGCAGGCGGUCUGUCAAGUCGGAUGUGAAAUCCCCGGGCUCAACCUGGGAACUGCAUUCGAAACUGGCAGGCUAGAGUCUUGUAGAGGGGGGUAGAAUUCCAGGUGUAGCGGUGAAAUGCGUAGAGAUCUGGAGGAAUACCGGUGGCGAAGGCGGCCCCCUGGACAAAGACUGACGCUCAGGUGCGAAAGCGUGGGGAGCAAACAGGAUUAGAUACCCUGGUAGUCCACGCCGUAAACGAUGUCGAUUUGGAGGUUGUGCCCUUGAGGCGUGGCUUCCGGAGCUAACGCGUUAAAUCGACCGCCUGGGGAGUACGGCCGCAAGGUUAAAACUCAAAUGAAUUGACGGGGGCCCGCACAAGCGGUGGAGCAUGUGGUUUAAUUCGAUGCAACGCGAAGAACCUUACCUGGUCUUGACAUCCACAGAACUUUCCAGAGAUGGAUUGGUGCCUUCGGGAACUGUGAGACAGGUGCUGCAUGGCUGUCGUCAGCUCGUGUUGUGAAAUGUUGGGUUAAGUCCCGCAACGAGCGCAACCCUUAUCCUUUGUUGCCAGCGGUCCGGCCGGGAACUCAAAGGAGACUGCCAGUGAUAAACUGGAGGAAGGUGGGGAUGACGUCAAGUCAUCAUGGCCCUUACGACCAGGGCUACACACGU
rnacentral:rRNA from 1 species